CUGCUGCGGCGACACGAAAUGCACGUGUCCGUCGAUACCUGCGGCAGUCAGGAUAAGAUGCUCGCCCGAGAUGGCGUCGGUCGAGGGACCGGUGCAGAGUGUCGGGGUCACACCCUCCAUGAUGUUGGGGUUACCGGCCUUGCCGAUACCUGCGAUCUUGCCGUCCUUGACACCGACAUCGGCCUUGAUUACACCGAGCAGCGGGUCGAGGAUGGUGACGUUGGUGAUGACGAGGUCGAGCGACCCGGCAUCAGACGUGAUUGUGUUGGCCGUGCCCAUGCCGUCGCG
rnacentral:sRNA from 1 species